GCCGGGAUAGCUCAGUUGGUAGAGCAAAGGACUGAAAAUC
rnacentral:tRNA from 2 species